rnacentral:rRNA from 1 species
GAAUUGGGGAUAACGUUGCGAAAGCGACGCUAAUACCGAAUAACAUCCUUAGAACCUCGGUUUUUAGGAUCAAAGGUGGCCUCUACAUGUAAGCUACUGUUUGAAGAUGAGCCCGCGUACCAUUAGCUUGUUGGCAGGGUAAUGGCCUACCAAGGCAACGAUGGUUAGCUGGUCUGAGAGGAUGAUCAGCCACACUGGAACUGACACACGGUCCAGACUCCUACGGGAGGCAGCAGUGAGGAAUUUUGCGCAAUGGGGGAAACCCUGACGCAGCAACGCCGCGUGAGUGAUGAAGGCUUUCGGGUCGUAAAGCUCUGUCAAGUGGGAAGAACCUGCAGUAUGUUAAUAUCAUAUUGCACUGACGGUACCACUGAAGGAAGCACCGGCUAACUCCGUGCCAGCAGCCGCGGUAAUACGGGGGGUGCAAGCGUUAUUCGGAAUCAUUGGGCGUAAAGGGCGCGUAGGCGGCCUCUUAAGUCAGAUGUGAAAGCCCGGGGCUCAACCCCGGAAGUGCAUUUGAAACUAAGGGACUUGAGUAUGGGAGAGGGAAGUGGAAUUCCUGGUGUAGAGGUGAAAUUCGUAGAUAUCAGGAGGAACACCGGUGGCGAAGGCGACUUCCUGGACCAAUACUGACGCUAAGGCGCGAAGGCGUGGGGAGCAAACAGGAUUAGAUACCCUGGUAGUCCACGCAGUAAACGGUGAACACUAGGUGUAGCGGGUAUUGACCCCUGCUGUGCCGCAGCUAACGCAUUAAGUGUUCCGCCUGGGGAGUACGGUCGCAAGAUUAAAACUCAAAGGAAUUUUNAG